ACCUGUGUUUCUAUGCUCGUAAAUGAGGAUGUGCUCACACAGCUAGUAGACACGGGACGCAAGAAUUUCUGUGAAUCCUGGAGUGUGCGGCUGUCUCAACCACUUCACCAGUCAGGAAACAAUGAAGGCCCCUGGCAGUGAAGUUAAAAAGGAUGUGCUAUGCACGAGAUUUUGAAAAGGGGAGUGUAUAAAGUACCAGAUGAUUAAUGAAAGAAAUCCAGGACAUUGUCCCAGUUUCCAUCUUCAGAAAUUGGUUGAAAGACUCAGACGUAAAGACCAAACCAUUCUGGUCCUGGCAAGACGAGGAAGAGGACGUACCAGCACAUUGGAGGAUAACGACCCCUGUGUGCAAGGAAGAGUCUGUGUGCUUCAGUUUUAUUUUUUAUGGUUUAAUGUGAAUAUGGUGAUAACGAAUAAAGAAAAGUGAAUGAGAACAGAAA